GAUAUAGUGUUCCGAAUGCACUAUUCCUUCUUUCUCUUUCAUUCUCUCACGCUCUCUCCCUUUUAUUAUAGAUAUUAUGCUUCUGCAAGAAGAUUUGAAAUCAUAGAAAGGAUGAAGUUGUGAUGACAGCGACAAUGGUUGAAGUCACGACGGUAGAGAUGGCCGUUGAAGUUUUGACGGCGGCAAAGAUGAAGGUUUGGAGAAAGAUGAGAAAGGUUUCUAUUGAAUUUGAAAAGAUGUGUAUUUAAAUAUAUUUUUUAAUAUUUGUUGUUGUUUAUAGUUCAUCACCUUUCUUACUAAAUGAC